ACAUGUCAAACUCUAUCUGUCUAGGCAGCUGGGCCAGUACAGUAUGUAAUGUAUUUCAAGUUUUAGUUUUGAGAAAAACGAGCCCAAAAUGUACUAUUGAUGCAGAUUGCUCAAGAAUGUAACAGUGACUUUAACCAGUAUGUGGAGAAAUUCUGUAGGGGAAGACUGAGAAUUUUCUAAGUCCAAUGUGGGACCCAGGGGAGCGGCUACUCGGAUUCGGAAUACGAAGUGGGUCUCGUGGAAGUGUGACUUGGUAUCCAUGGCUACGAGGUGGGCAAGCAGGAUUGUAGCUACGCCAGGCGGUGGGCAGGGCUGCCCAGCUCUACAUGUAAUCUCCACCAGGCACAUUGGGUAAUUUUGAGCCUGGCAGCCCGGCGCAUAUUUCACUCCCUGAGUUGGUAAAAUUUCUUAAAAAUCUCAAAA